rnacentral:rRNA from 1 species
AAAACAACCAGGAUGUUGGCUUAGAAGCAGCCACCAUUUAAAGAGUGCGUAAUAGCUCACUGGUCGAGAGACCCUGCGCCGAAGAUUACCGGGGCUAAAGUACGAAACCGAAGCUGUGGCUACGACUUAGGUCGUGGGGUAGGGGAGCGUUCUGUGAGGGCUGAAGUCGUUCUGUAAGGAACGGUGGACUUCACAGAAGUGAGAAUGUUGGUAUGAGUAGCGAAAAGAAUGGUGAGAAUCCAUUCCACCGAAAGCAUAAGGAUUCCUGGGCAACGAUCGUCGUCCCAGGGUAAGUCGGGACCUAAUCCGAGGCAUAGAGCGUAGGAGAUGGACAACUGGCAGAUAUUCCAGUACCGGUAAUGAUUGUUUGAGCGAUGGAGUGACACAGGAGGGCAGGCAGGCAGGAGAUUGGUUGUUCCUGUACAAGCGUGUAGGGUGGAACGUAGGCAAAUCCGCGUUCUGAGAGCCUGAGGCGUGAUGUGGAGGUUCCGGAAACGGAGCUGAAGCUGCUGACCCCACACUGUCGAGAAAAGCUUCUAGUUAGAGAAUUACCGCCCGUACCGUAAACCGACACAGGUAUGCGGGGAGAGAAUCCUAAGGUGCGCGGGAGAACCCUCGUUAAGGAACUCGGCAAAAUGUACCCGUAACUUCGGGAUAAGGGUAGCCGCUGUUGUGAAGUCUGCACAGACGGAGCAUGAGGCGGUCGCAGAGAAGAGGCCCAAGCGACUGUUUACCACAAACACAGGUGCCUGCUAAAGAGAAAUCUGACGUAUAGGUGCUGACACCUGCCCAGUGCCGGAAGGUUAAGGAAGGAUGUCCGGAGCAAUCCAAAGCAUUCGACCGAAGCCCCGGUGAACGGCGGCCGUAACUAUAACGGUCCUAAGGUAGCGAAAUUCCUUGUCGGGUAAGUUCCGACCCGCACGAAAGGUGUAACGAUUUGGGCACUGUCUCAACGAGGGACCCGGUGAAAUUGAAGUACCUGUGAAGAUGCAGGUUACCCGCGACUGGACAGAAAGACCCCAUGGAGCUUUACUGUAACCUGACAUUGGGUUCUGAUACAUCACGUACAGGAUAGGUGGGAGGCAUGGAAGCGAGGACGCUAGUCUUCGUGGAGCCGCCGUUGGGAUACCACCCUUGAUGUAUCGGAAUUCUAACCGUAGGAGUAACGAAACUCGGGACAGUGUCAGGCGGGCAGUUUGACUGGGGCGGUCGCCUCCCAAAGAGUAACGGAGGCGCCCAAAGGUUCCCUCAGCGCGGCCGGAAAUCGCGCGAAGAGUGUAAAGGCAGAAGGGAGCUUGACUGAGAGCCAAACACGGCGAUCAGGUACGAAAGUAGGGCUUAGUGAUCCGGUGGCAUCCAAGUGGAAGGGCCAUCGCUCAACGGAUAAAAGCUACCCUGGGGAUAACAGGCUAAUCUCUCCCAAGAGUCCAUAUCGACGGGGAGGUUUGGCACCUCGAUGUCGGCUCAUCACAUCCUGGGGCUGAAGUAGGUCCCAAGGGU